CCAAGUGAGAAAGAUAUAUUGGGAUGAUUUGGAUGGCACCCUCAUUCCCCCCCCCCCCUGAACAAAUUUUUAUUAACUUAUAUGUACUGGACAAAAUAGCUCCGUUUCCACACCUUGACAAAAUAGGGGUUUUUCUUCGAGCCUUUUUAGUUUUGACUCUCCUCUCCUCAAAGUCUCACUCUCUUUCCAGAAACCUGGACUCCUCUUCAUUCUUCAACAUCUCUCUCUCUCUCUCAAGCUUUCAUUGUCCCUAAUUUCACUUUUCUCUCUGCAAAUCAACCCUAACUCCACUUAAUGGCUCCGACACCUUCUUCCACCAAAUCCAAUCAAAACCCUAGCCAAAACCCCACAAUCUCGGCAUCAUCUCCAGUUCUUAAAAGCCCACCCCUCUCCAAACUACAAUUCCAGUUCUUCACUCGAAUCCGAGACUACCCAGAAUCCAAGAGAAAACCCGUAACACCCACGAAAGCAGAACAUUUGGUUCUCGGCGUCACUUGGAACCUUUCUUCUCCAUCUGUUCAUUCUCGGAUCUAUAGAUCUGUAUUAAGUUUUGGGGUUUUCGAAAAGGGGGUUUAUUCUGUGUUUGAUUUUAUGUGAAUUUGAUUUCUAAAUCAGCCUUGACGGAACUCGACGGCGGCGCUACCUCUCCCCAUGACUUAGCCAGAUAAGUCUCCGGUGUCACCAGAGGUACUUGGCCAAAGGCUAUGGUGCGACCCUGUAGUUGAGCGAUGGCGACUCCAUUGAACUCCGUUACAAGUUCGAUCCUCAUCCAAGACCCGAGCUUUUCCACCCUAGACUCCAUUACCUUCGUCGCCUUCGUCUUCACAACUCGAGUGGUCGCGGCAUGGCUGAUGAAUAUACCUUCAAUACCUGUUUGGCUUCAUUUCAUACAUAUCUUGGCGGUAUGCAUUAUUUCUAUUCGUUUUCGUUUUUGUGUAGUUUCUGGUUCACAGUUUUGAUGCUUAUUUGCUUAGUGAUAUGGUUCAUAGUUUUGAUGCUUAUUUAAUUGGAUCUGUGUCGAUUUUAUUCUAGCACCGGAUUCUAUUCUCCUCUUGCACAAUUAGAUCCGUGUCAUCUGAUCUGAAGAGAGUCUAGUAUAUCUUAUCUUUGGCCCUUAUAGUUGUUUAGUUUGAUUACAAUUGUACCUGAUAGCUUUGGCUUGUAUCUGUUUGUACUCAUGUUUGUUUAUUGAAAUAUAUAAAUCAAGCUUACAAUGGCCCUAAACGUUGAAAACUAUGGUACUUAACUAUGUGAACUCUUGUUUAUGUUACUUCCCCAUUUCAUUGAGAGCUUAGCCUAGGAUUAUGGGUAAAGUCCCUAAUGCGAUUUGGGUUGUAUAGAAAGAUUUUUUUUUUUUUGUUUCCUUAAUCAGUACAGCGUAAGGUUCCGGGUAGGGAAAAGAAAGCUAAACCUCUAUGGGGUUGAUUGUAACUCGUUGUUGGUGGUGGGGUUAUUUGGUUAGAAUAAAAUAGCAGGACUCUUGAAGAUUACAAAUGGGCAGUAGUGGAGGUGUUUUGAGAAAAAAUCAGAUUCUGCUUCACUCUUUGGACUUUGGUUUCUAUAGAUUUGAGGAUUUUCUUUUCCUGCUAUAUGUUAUUAACCGCAAGCUUCUAUCUAUUUAUGUUUAAAUGGGUGGUUCCUAGUUUCUAUUAAGAGUGGAAACUAGCUAGCUGUGUUGAUCUUUAGUAGUUUCUCCCACUGCAUAAAAUGCAGUUUGAUUUUGUGUGUUUUUUUUUUUUUUGAAUAAAUUUGAUUUUGUGUUUAGGUUUAUGUAGACUAGUAAUGGAGUUUCAAAUUGCAAUUUAGAGUACAUUUUUAGUUCCCUGUGGAGUAGUGCAAUACUGCAAUAUAUAUAAUUAGUGAAAGUCUUUAUUCAAAUGAUGUGGAACUUGAUAUGUGCAAGUUAAGGCACACCCUUACUGAUGUUUUUUAAAAGGACCAUCCUUGGCUAAUUAAAAUGUUUGUAGUAGUAUGGCAAAAACUCGGUUUAUGAACUAUGUGAACUCUUGUUUAUGUUACUUUCCCAUUUCAUUGAGAGCUUAGCCUAGAUUUAUGUGGAACUUGGUUUCUGGGUUAAUUAGUUCUAUGAAUUAUUGCCUAACUAGCUUUUUGUAAUAGAAUUUGGGUAGAGGCAUUUUUUGUGUGCGCACAAUUGUCAAAGGUGUGUGUGGCUGUUUUCCCUUUGUUACUUGUUCCAGAUUACUCCAAGGGAUCAUUGUGGUCUUUGGUUGUAAUAAUUGGGCUAGUAAAAUCCGUGGUUUGCAUGUUGUCAGGUUCGAAUAUGGUGACAUGUUCAGAUAUCUUUCAGUUGGUCAAUUGUUCAAUUGAUUCUAUAAAAACUCUUAAUUGAUUGUCAUAUUCCACUUUCAUGGUUUAUUAUUCAUAUUGUACCUGCCAUUGGAAGACAUAGUUUAUAAUUUAGUUAUGGGCCAGAAACUAGAUAAUGUAUAUGAGCAGCAAGGUGAGACUUGUUUUCUGGCAAAAUAAGGGAAUGUGGAAAAUGUUUUGCUGCUGAAAAUUGUACAUUGAGAUUGGACAGUCACCAUUUUCAACUCUGCCAUUAACUUGGGCAAAGGUUUAUUUUUGUAUUUCUUCAUUUGUUCUACAUACUCUGUUAAUUUUUAACAUGUCUGCUCAAUCAUUGUACUAAUUAUAUAUGUAAAGGAUAAAGUUGAUUCUGGCUACUAGUUUUUGAUCAUUGAGAUAACUUGAUGAACAUGUGUGUUUCAUUGUACUAUGUUCUACUUUGUCCAGGACUAUAUAGACUUUCAUGAGACAACUAAGCAUGCUAUUUAGAGGUUUAAAUCUUGUGCUUUUCUUCUGUUCUUGUGAACAAUUAUGAAAUAAGGAAGUUAAUCCUGCUAUUAUCAUUUUUGGGUACCUGUGCAGUUGCUCACAUUGAAGUAUUAUAGUGUUUGUGGCUUUCUAUAUUUAUUGGUUUGAAAUCUACCGUAAUGAAAUAUAUAAAGAAUUGGUAAAAACAUAUAUGUAUUUUCUUAUUACUUGAGUUUAUGUGCAGAACCAAAAAAAUUGGUAGAUUCAAUGACAGGGAAACAUGGUCUCCUCUGAAUUUUUGUAGAAACAAAGGGCUAUUUCCUGCCACAUCAGUGUUCUCCUCUGAGAAUCAAAUAAGAAUUGUUUUUGAUCAUUGAUACUGCUUUGUAAAAGCUGAGGCAUAAUUACUAAUUUUCUUGUCAAUUUGAAAGCACAUUCAGGCUUAAUUACAGAUCUUAUCUUAAGUGCAGGUUUGGUGGCAGAUUAAAUAUAGCAUUGAAGAAAAUAACAAGAUUUACUUUUCUUAGUUACUGUUUCAUACUAUAGACGAUGAGGUUGGAGCUGCAUUUUCCAUGGUUUACAUAUUUGGAGCUCCAGUCAUGUUUGUUGGGCGUGGGCAGUGCUACACACCUCAAAAAGUUGAAUGUGAAAUCAAUUGUGAAUACUCCUUUGGUUAGAAUGCUUAGGUUAGAAUGCUUUUGUUCUUUAAAUGUUGGAUUGGAUGAUUGGGAAAUGCUCUCUUUUUACAUUUGAAGUUUAUAGUAUGAGUUCGAUUAAUCA